rnacentral:rRNA from 1 species
AUACGGAGGGGGCAAGCGUUAUUCGGAAUUAUUGGGCGUAAAGGGCGCGUAGGCGGAAUAGUAAGUCAGAAGUGAAAAUCAUGGGCUUAACUCAUGACCUGCUUUUGAUACUGCUAUUCUCGAGUGCGAGAGAGGAAAGCGGAAUUCCCGGUGUAGCGGUGAAAUGCGUAGAUAUCGGGAAGAACACCGGUAGCGAAGGCGGCUUUCUGGCUCGCAACUGACGCUGAGGCGCGAAAGCGUGGGGAGCAAACAGGAUUAGAAACCCCAGUAGUCC